rnacentral:rRNA from 1 species
UUGAACGCUGGCGGCAUGCCUAACACAUGCAAGUCGAACGGAAACAGGACGCUGUGAUCUCUUCGGAGUGAACUUGUCGCUGUCGAGUGGCGGACGGGUGAGUAAUGCAUAGGAAUUUGCCUUGAAGUGGGGGAUAGCCCGGAGAAAUCCGGAUUAAUACCGCAUGUGCUCCACGGAGCAAAGCGGGCCUCUUCUUGAAAGCUCGCGCUUUAAGAUAAGCCUAUGUCGGAUUAGCUAGUUGGUAGGGUAAAAGCCUACCAAGGCGACGAUCCGUAGCUGGUUUGAGAGGAUGAUCAGCCACACUGGGACUGAGACACGGCCCAGACUCCUACGGGAGGCAGCAGUGGGGAAUAUUGGACAAUGGGCGAAAGCCUGAUCCAGCAAUGCCGCGUGUGUGAAGAAGGCCUGCGGGUUGUAAAGCACUUUCAGUAGGGAAGAUAAUGACGGUACCUACAGAAGAAGCACCGGCUAACUCUGUG